CAUUACCGAAUUGUCAACAAGAGUUGUUGCUGGUCCCUGUAUGGGGGCAUGUGCACGCUCUGUUUACACAUCCACUCACACCUGUGCACCCUCUGUAGUUCUAUGGCCUGGGUGGGCUCUGCCCUCCCGCUGUGGUUCUACGUUUUUACACACACACUACAACAAAGUCUCAUGGAAUGUAUGUCGCGUUUAACGCAAUGAAAUACAACUUUCAGCAACGGAUCUCUUGGCUCUCGCAUCGAUGAAGAACGCAGCGAAAUGCGAUAAGUAAUGUGAAUUGCAGAAUUCAGUGAAUCAUCGAAUCUUUGAACGCACCUUGCGCCCUUUGGCUAUUCCGAAGGGCAUGCCUGUUUGAGUAUCAUGAAUACCUCAACUCUCAUGGCUUGCCAUGAUGAGCUUGGACUUUGGGGGUCUUGUUGGUCUGCGAGCCAGCUCCUCUUAAAUGAAUUAGCUUGCCGGUGUUUGGUGGCAUCACAGGUGUGAUAACUAUCUACGCUUGUGGUUUCCCACCAGGUAACCUUCAGCAAUGGAGGUUCACUGGAGCUUAUAAAUGUCUCUCCUCAGCGAGGACACCUUUUGACCAUUUGAUCUCAAAUCAGGUAGGACUACCCGCUGAACUUAAGCAUAUCAAUAGNCGGAGGAAGAGUAGGGAUGUCUGCUUUCUAACCGUCUGUGUAUUCGGACAAUUUAUUGACUAUUUGACCUCAAAUCAGGUAGGACUACCCGCUGAACUUAAGCAUAUCAAUAAGCGGAGGA
rnacentral:rRNA from 1 species